AUUGAACGCUGGCGGCAUGCUUUACACAUGCAAGUCGAACGGUAACAGGCCUUCGGGUGCUGCCGAGUGGCGAACGGGUGAGUAAUGCAUCGGAACGUGCCCAGAGGUGGGGGAUAACGCAGCGAAAGCUGUGCUAAUACCGCAUGUGAUCUGAGGAUGAAAGCAGGGGACCAGGCAGCAAUGUUUGGCCUCGCGCCUUUGGAGCGGCCGAUGUCAGAUUAGGUAGUUGGUGGGGUAAAGGCCUACCAAGCCGACGAUCUGUAGCUGGUCUGAGAGGACGACCAGCCACACUGGGACUGAGACACGGCCCAGACUCCUACGGGAGGCAGCAGUGGGGAAUUUUGGACAAUGGGCGCAAGCCUGAUCCAGCAAUGCCGCGUGCGGGAAGAAGGCCUUCGGGUUGUAAACCGCUUUUGUACGGAACGAAAAGGCUCUGGCUAAUACCUGGGGCUGAUGACGGUACCGUAAGAAUAAGCACCGGCUAACUACGUG
rnacentral:rRNA from 1 species